UCCUGGUGUUUGUACCCUGUGUGCUU
rnacentral:piRNA from 1 species